UGAUAGGCAUUGGGAAGGCUAAGGAG
rnacentral:piRNA from 1 species